CCUCCCUUUCUUGGCAGGAUCGGAUGUCCCUGUAUCCGUUUCUGUAAUGUGCGGAGGUAAAACGUACUGACCUGUGUUAUGUCUUCGGUGCCAGCGGCUUUUCCAUCUGCUGGUUCUAUCCUCAAGCGCAGGGACACAU